rnacentral:rRNA from 1 species
UUGGCUUGGCGCCCUAAUCAUGCAAGGUCGUAGGCGGAACAGAACGAGGAGCUUUGCUUCCUCUUGACGUUAGCGGCGGACGGGUGAGUAACACGUGGAUAACCUACCUAUAAGACUGGGAUAACUUCGGGAAACCGGAGCUAAUACCGGAUAAUAUAUUGAACCGCAUGGUUCAAUAGUGAAAGACGGUUUUGCUGUCACUUAUAGAUGGAUCCGCGCCGCAUUAGCUAGUUGGUAAGGUAACGGCUUACCAAGGCAACGAUGCGUAGCCGACCUGAGAGGGUGAUCGGCCACACUGGAACUGAGACACGGUCCAGACUCCUACGGGAGGCAGCAGUAGGGAAUCUUCCGCAAUGGGCGAAAGCCUGACGGAGCAACGCCGCGUGAGUGAUGAAGGUCUUCGGAUCGUAAAACUCUGUUAUUAGGGAAGAACAAAUGUGUAAGUAACUAUGCACGUCUUGACGGUACCUAAUCAGAAAGCCACGGCUAACUACGUGCCAGCAGCCGCGGUAAUACGUAGGUGGCAAGCGUUAUCCGGAAUUAUUGGGCGUAAAGCGCGCGUAGGCGGUUUUUUAAGUCUGAUGUGAAAGCCCACGGCUCAACCGUGGAGGGUCAUUGGAAACUGGAAAACUUGAGUGCAGAAGAGGAAAGUGGAAUUCCAUGUGUAGCGGUGAAAUGCGCAGAGAUGUGGAGGAACGCCAGUGGCGAAGCUACUUUCUGGUCUGUAACUGACGCUGAUGUGCGAAAGCGUGGGGAUCAAACAGGAUUAGAUACCCUGGUAGUCCACGCCGUAAACGAUGAGUGCUAAGUGUUAAGGGGUUUCCGCCCCUUAGUGCUGCAGCUAACGCAUUAAGCACUCCGCCUGGGGAGUACGACCGCAAGGUUGAAACCAAAGAUUGACGGACCCGCACAAGCGGUGGAGCUUGGGUUAAUUAAGCACGCGAAAAACUUCCAACUUGACUUCCUUUGACCCCUAAAAAAAUUUUCCCCUCGGGGAAAAUUGGUGGGCAUGUUUCCCCUUAAUUUUGGGUUAACCCAAACACGCACCUUAGCUUUUUGCCUUUAAGGGAUUAUUUAUUCCGGGGAAAAACGGAGAAGGGGGGUCCUU